AUGUUCAGAAAUAGAAGAAGUAUCAAAUUGUAUGAUGCAACAAGAUACAGCAAACAAAAGGGAGGAACCCUUCAACUGAUUGCAAUGAUGAAGGCUAAUGGUUCAGAUUUCAGAGAGACUUCAGAGAGACCAAUGGAUGGAUUCACAGGUCUGGUGUAUUUACAGGCAGACCGACCAACAGAGAAUUCACGGUCUAAAGACUUGAUCUCAUUUGCUGGUGCAGCCUUCACAGUUGUUAAAGAAUUUACUGUCGUAUUGAUUUUGAUGGGUCUCACCGGUUGGAUAUGGACCAAAGAAUUUAAUGAGUCGACUGUCAGAAAAAUAAACAUGAGCGAGACUAACUGGAAAUAUUUAAUAACCCCACCACAGAUAUUUGAAGAACAGCUAUUUAAUAACCCCACCACAGAUAUUUGA
rnacentral:rRNA from 1 species